rnacentral:tRNA from 2 species
CGCGCCGACCGUUAAGGGCUCCAGAAUAAUCGACGGGUUUGCUACCCGUAGGUCGUCGGUUCAAAUCCGACCGGCCCCACCA